UACGUAGGGGGCAAGCGUUGUCCGGAUUUAUUGGGCGUAAAGAGCGUGUAGGCGGCUUGAUAGGUCCGUUGUGAAAACUCGAGGCUCAACCUCGAGACGCCGAUGGAAACCAUCUAGCUAGAGUCCGGAAGAGGAGAGUGGAAUUCCUGGUGUAGCGGUGAAAUGCGCAGAUAUCAGGAAGAACACCCGUGGCUAAGGCGGCUCUCUAGUACGGUACUGACGCUGAGACGCGAAAGCGUGGGGAGCGAACAGG
rnacentral:rRNA from 1 species